UACGUAGGUGGCAAGCGUUGUCCGGAAUUAUUGGGCGUAAAGCGCGCGCAGGCGGCCUUUUAAGUCUGAUGUGAAAUCUUGCGGCUCAACCGCAAGCGGCCAUUGGAAACUGGGAGGCUUGAGUACAGAAGAGGAGAGUGGAAUUCCAGGUGUAGCGGUGAAAUGCGUAGAUAUCUGGAGGAACACCGGUGGCGAAGGCGGCAUCCUGGACCGAUAUUGACGCUGAUGCGCGAAAGCUAGGGGAGCAAACGGG
rnacentral:rRNA from 1 species